GUGCACGCUGGCGGUAGGCCUAACACAUGCAGGUCGAACGGCAGCACAGUAAGAGCUUGCUCUUACGGGUGGCGAGUGGCGGACGGGUGAGGAAUACAUCGGAAUCUACUUUUUCGUGGGGGAUAACGUAGGGAAACUUACGCUAAUACCGCAUACGACCUACGGGUGAAAGCAGGGGAUCUUCGGACCUUGCGCGAUUGAAUGAGCCGAUGUCGGAUUAGCUAGUUGGCGGGGUAAAGGCCCACCAAGGCGACGAUCCGUAGCUGGCCUGAGAGGAUGAUCAGCCACACUGGAACUGAGACACGGUCCAGACUCCUACGGGAGGCAGCAGUGGGGAAUAUUGGACAAUGGGCGCAAGCCUGAUCCAGCCAUACCGCGUGGGUGAAGAAGGCCUUCGGGUUGUAAAGCCCUUUUGUUGGGAAAGAAAAGCAGCAGGUUAAUACCCCGCUGUUCUGACGGUACCCAAAGAAUAAGCACCGGCUAACUUCGUG
rnacentral:rRNA from 1 species